AGUAAGAGGUUUCUCUUCAGAUCGUAUAAAUCUUUCGCCUUUUACUGGGGAUUUCCGUGGAGAGGAACAUUUAUGAGUUUGUAUCUAAUUUUUUGAGGCUCUACUACAAGUUACUGAU